rnacentral:rRNA from 1 species
AAUACUCCACGGCGUAAGGGUGAUUAAAAAUUAUCUAACUUAUACUAAAGUUAAGACCUCAUCAAGCUGUUAUACGCACCCAUGAGUGGAAUAUUCAUCAACGAAAGUAACUUUACUUAAACAGAAUUUUUGACCUCACGACAGUUAAGACCCAAACUAGGAUUAGAUAC